AUUGAACGCUGGCGGCGUGCUUAACACAUGCAAGUCGUGCGGUAACAGGCGUAGCAAUACGUGCUGACGAGCGGCGAACGGGUGCGUAAUACAUGGGAAUCUGCCCUUUGGUGGGGAAUAACCCGGCGAAAGCCGGGCUAAUGCCGCAUAAGAUCUUCGGAUGAAAGCGGGGGAUCGUAAGACCUCGCGCCGAUGGAUGAGCCCAUGUCGGAUUAGCUAGUUGGNGAGGUAACGGCUCACCAAGGCGACGAUCCGUAGCUGGUCUGAGAGGACGGCCAGCCACACUGGGACUGAGACACGGCCCAGACUCCUACGGGAGGCAGCAGUGGGAAUAUUGACAAUGGGCGAAAGCCUGACGCAGCGACGCCGCGUGAGGGAUGACGGCC
rnacentral:rRNA from 1 species